rnacentral:rRNA from 1 species
UACAGGGGGUGCAAACGUUGCUCGGAAUUAUUGGGCGUAAAGCGCGCGUAGGCGGCUACUUAAGUCGGAUGUGAAAGCCCCUGGCUCAACUGGGGAAGUGCACCCGAAACUGAGUGGCUUGAGUGCGAAAGAGGGUCGCGGAAUUCCCGGUGUAGUGGUGAAAUGCGUAGAGAGUCGGGCGGAACACCCGUGGCGAAGGCGGC